ACUCUUUCACCUUCUUUAGGAGUUAAUUGUACAAAUUGCCUUUCUUUUUCCUUUUGCUUUUUUAUGCCAGGGUAGUUAAUAGUGGAGGUAGUGAAAACCAACCACUUAAAAACUAACAAGCAGACACUAAGUCUUUUAAAUGCAUGAUAACAUGUAAUCCUAUCAACGAUAUAAUUAGACAGACACUAUCAUCAUCCCUAUUAUGCAGAUGAGGAAACUGGUGGCCAGAAAAUUUACAUGAUUUACCCCGAGUAAUUUACCGUGACUCCAGGGCCCACCCUUUUAACCUCCACCCUCCAUCCUCUAUCUCUUGGUGGUAGAGAGGGUAAUUACCUCCUCUCGUAACUAUUUUCCUUUGCUAUUCCUGGCCACUAGGUUCUCUGAGCUUUCUUAUAGGUCACGACAUAAAAGUGUUGAUCAGGGCAAACUAGCAGCGAGCAGAACGCCCUGUGAGUGCUUAUCUAACAAGCUGGCAACUUGCAAAUAUAUCUAAUAUUCAGGAAAACUUUGUAGCUGCAUUUAAAAACUCUCCCAGCUGCAGAGAUUUGAGUCCUGCCUGCUUCAGGUCCAUGGUAUUGAGCCAAAUAACGCCACACUCAGCAGACAGAAGA
rnacentral:lncRNA from 10 species